ACAUUUGUAUUUUUUGUGGUAUUGAUAAGCCCUCUUUUGAAUGUUUAAUACAUUAUUACAUAUGAUUGUCUGUGGGACAAGUGCCUUGUUCGAUAGUACACAAUAUCCAUAUGGAAUCCGUCGCAACAAAAGUACUCGUAAUUUUUUUAGUAGUAAAUAAUAUUAAUGCCAAGUUGAAUAAAGGUGAAAAAUACUGUGAAAAAUUUACAAACGACUCUUUUAAACAGCCACAGUCUAUCGUAGGAACAUGGGGAGUGUACUAUAUUUGGAAUCAAAAAAAGAUAUCUUGUGAACCUUUGACAAUUGAGCUAGCACAUAAAAAGACAAAAACUCGUUUAGCUUCUGCCUUCAGAAAACGUGUAAGAGACAAGUCUAUUUGGUACUCUGAUAUGCUGAUGGUGUCGGGGGGUCUCGAGCUGUUCUUGUUCCCUGAUGGGAACGACCGCGGGGGAUUCCGUGCUCUUACGAACAUCUUUCUUUUAGCUUUUUCAGUGGAGCGGACAUUCCCGCUAGUGAGGUACGCUGUGCGGCCAUUUGAAUCCUUCAACUUUAUGAUCUUGCUGAACUGCGAAAAGUUCAGUGGGUACCUGCUGGCCAGGACUAAAAGGGCCGAGGAGAUAAACGACCCAGCCUACAACGCCACUGCUAUUGUGCAAAGUACUACGGUUAAACCAAUAGUUGGUUUAAAAUCUGCUUUCAACUCUUCAAUUACAACACGACCCAUCGUAAUCACAAAGGAAAAGAUAAAAUAUAUGGUUGAUCGUAUUAUGCCAAAGGAGAAGGGACGGUUUGUGUGUUUGAACUGAAUCAUCUUUACCUAACCCACAUGCUAAGCUUCUCGAAAUAUGUUCAAAAUAAAAGACACUCACAAAAGAUUUAAUCCACUACGUGAAGUCCAACUGAGUAGACUUACCAGGUGAACUGCGAAUUUUCGGGUUUCCAUUUGACAUUCGAACAUGUUUUUUUUAUUAAGUACUAUUAUUUAUAUAUUGAUGAAACUACCAUUUAUUAAGAAAAAUACUGAUGAAAAAUGCAAAAAAAGGUUAAGUAGGCACCAGGUAACAGGUAGGUAGUUAGUAGGUAUGAUGUAGAAUAUUCUUAGUAGAAGAUGGUCGUUGGUAAUAAAUUAAUUUUUAUUUAAA